AUUGAACGCUGGCGGCAGGCCUAACACAUGCAAGUCGAGCGGAGCGGCGGACGGGUGAGUAAUACCUAGGUAUGGGCCUGGUAGUGGGGGGUAACGUUCGGAAAGGGACGCUAAUACCGCAUACUCUCAGUUGAGCCUAGGCCGUAUUAGCUAGUUGGUGGGGUAAUGGCUCACCAAGGCUACGAUCCGUAACUGGUCUGAGAGGAUGAUCAGUCACACUGGAACUGAGACACGGCCCAGACUCCUACGGGAGGCAGCAGUGGGGAAUAUUGGACAAUGGGCGAAAGCCUGAUCCAGCCAUGCCGCGUGUGUGAAGAAGGUCUUCGGGUUGUAAAGCACUUUCAGUUGGGAGGCGUUACCGACAGAAGAAGCACCGGCUAACUCUGUGCCAGCAGCCGCGGUAAUUC
rnacentral:rRNA from 1 species